GACGAAGGGGGCUAGCGUUGUUCGGAAUUACUGGGCGUAAAGCGCGUGUAGGCGGUUGCCCACGUCGGGUGUGAAAGCCUUGAGCUCAACUCAAGAAAUGCACUCGGUACUGGGUGACUAGAGGACCGGAGAGGAUAGUGGAAUUCCCAGUGUAGUGGUGAAAUACGUAGAGAUUGGGAAGAACACCAGUGGCGAAGGCGGCUAUCUGGACGGUUUCUGACGCUAAGACGCGAAAGCGUGGGGAGCAAACAGG
rnacentral:rRNA from 1 species